rnacentral:rRNA from 1 species
AAUGGAGAGUUUGAUCCUGGCUCAGGACGAACGCUGGAGGUAUGCCUCAUACAUGCAAGUCGAACGGACUUGUGGAGCUUGCUCCAUAAGUUAGUGGCGCACGGGUGAGUAACGCGUGGGUAACCUGCCUUUCAAUCUGGGAUAACACUGUGAAAACAGUGCUAAUACCGGAUAAUAAGUUUAGUCGUAUGACUGAAUUUUAAAAGAUGCCCUAUUAACAAUGGUAUCGUUGAGAGAGGGGCCUGCGUACUAUUAGCUAGUUGGUAAGGUAAAAGCUUACCAAGGCAAAGAUGGUUAGCCGGCUUGAGAGAGUGAUCGGCCACACUGGAACUGAGACACGGUCCAGACUCCUACGGGAGGCAGCAGUAGGGAAUAUUCCGCAAUGGGCGAAAGCCUGACGGAGCAAUACCUCGUGAGUGAUGAAGGGUUUAGGCUCGUAAAGCUCAGUCAGCAGGGAAGAAGGUUGUGCGUUUGAAUAAGGCGUAUGAUUUGACGGUACCUGCAGAGGAAGCAACGGCUAAUUACGUGCCAGCAGCCGCGGUAAUACGUAAGUUGCUAGCGUUGUCCGGAUUUACUGGGCGUAAAGAACGCGUAGGCGGUUCGUUAAGUUGAAGGUGAAAUCGUUGGGCCCAACCCAGCAACUGCCUUCAAAACUGAUGAACUAGAGUGCAGGAGGGGAAGAUGGUAUUCCUGGUGUAGCGGUGAAAUGCGUAGAUAUCAGGGAGAACACCAAUGGCGAAAGCAGUCUUCUGGAAUGCAACUGACGCUGAGGCGUGAAAGCGUGGGGAGCGAACAGGAUUAGAUACCCUGGUAGUCCACGCCGUAAACGAUGGGUACUAGUUGUUGGGAUCAUAGGAUCUCAGUGACCAAGCUAACGUAUUAAGUACCCCGCCUGGGGAGUACGGUCGCAAGAUUAAAACUCAAAGGAAUUGACGGGGGCCCGCACAAGCGGUGGAGUAUGUGGUUUAAUUCGAUGCAACGCGGAGAACCUUACCUAGUCUUGACAUCCCAUGCAAACUGUAGAGAUAUUGUGUUCGGUAUUUAUAUCGACAUGGUGACAGGUGGUGCAUGGCUGUCGUCAGCUCGUGUCGUGAGAUGUUCGGUUAAGUCCGGUAACGAGCGCAACCCUUGUCUUCAGUUGCCAGCGCGUAAUGGCGGGAACUUUGGAGAGACUGUCCCUAAUGGGGAAGGAAGGUGGGGAUGACGUCAAGUCAGCAUGCCCCUUAUGACUAGGGCUACACACGUACUACAAUGGUCGAUACAACGAGGAGCGAAGCAGUGAUGUGGAGCAAAACUCUAAAAGUCGGUCCAAGUUCGGAUUGGAGUCUGCAACUCGACUCCAUGAAGUUGGAAUCGCUAGUAAUCGCGGAUCAGCAUGCCGCGGUGAAUACGUUCCCGGGCCUUGUACACACCGCCCGUCACACCACCCGAGUUGAAUGCACCCGAAGUGGCUGACCCAACCUGUUUACAGGAGGGAGGUUCCUAAGGAGUGUUCAGUGAGGGGGGUGAAGUCGUAACAAGGUAUCCCUACGGGAACGUGGGGAUGGAUCACCUCCUUUCAAGGAG